AGAUAGAAGAUCAGUGACUUCAGAAAGCAAUGAAAACAUCUGGAAAAUAUUCUAAAGAUAAGUACUCGUAAUGCAUGUGUGACUUUAUUUUAACGCAUGCCAUUUAAACUACUGUAAUAUGUUCAUAGGUCUUAGAUGGAACACAGACUAUAUACAUCACUUGGUAUAUUUUCAUAAUUUAUGUCUGUGAAUUAAAAGGGGAAAAGCAUCCCGGUUAUAUUUUCAUUCCACCUCAAGCACUGCAAAUAACAUAACGAAAAAAAAAAUACAAUAGCUGGAAGUACAAAAUUUUGUGUCAAAUGAAUAUUUUGCCAAAAACGUAAUAAAAUUAUUAAUGAAAUGCGAGUUCGUGUUUGUACAAAAGCAAGUAAAAGACACUUAUGUAGAUCAAAUAGCCUUGGAUGUAAACCACAGACAGAAACACUCACACAACAUUUAGGCCUACGUGGCAAAAAUUGCGCAGUUGCACCGCAAAUUCAAAGAGAGGAAUGAUGCUUCUCCUCACUUUCUAUUGCUGCAGAUGUUCCAAUGUUUGCUGUUUCCAUCAUUCACAUCAUGUUGUGUUCUUUCUUGGGUGAAUUCUUUUAUGUUAUUUCAGAGUUAUACAAAUAUUUUUUUAUGGAAAUGAGACCAUAAAUGAAUGGAGUGGCAGAGAUUUUCAGAAUAGUUGGGAAGUAUGAUGGGGUGUGAUUGACAGAAAUGGAAAAGAGUUGUACAUUCUCUGUACUGACAGUUCAGUGUUUAGUGCUUCAUCUAUGCAGCAGCAUUAUAAAAGUACACAUAAAAUUAUUCUUAUGAAAAUAUAGAAGAAGAAGAAGAAGAAGAAGAAGAAGAAGAAGAAAACGGGAGUUCAUACCAAUUGCUCUGAGAACCAAUUUAACAUAUUUUUUAACAGACUACAGUCUGUCGCAUUUUUCUUUGAAUGUACAGAGUCUUCCUCACCAAAUAGCCUGGCUGUCUGAUUGUCGACUUGUUUGUCGCAAUGUUAGCAAUCACCCCCCAAGAGAAUGGAGUUUAAAUUCAAGGCUGAUUUGCCACACAGUAUGAAAACAGACAUGUAUUUCUAAAAAAAUAAGUUGUUCAGGAAAACCAUCAUACUAUAUGCUCAAAAUGCUUCAAUGCCACUAUCCUGUGCAUAAUUAAGAAUAUUGCAGAUUUUCAGUAAUGUUAUUAAAUUUAUAACUGUCUGGCUAUAAGUAGCAGUGCUGCAUGGAGUUUCAAGUAACUCAAUAAGAUUAAAUUAUGGUGGUCAUAUCAGUAUGAAAAGGCAAGUACUUAAAUCUGUUUUGUUACAGAUUCUUGCUCAUUUCCUUCAAACCAUGUUUUGAUUUCAUCAUACUUCAGUCCAAGAGCCUGAGUUUUGGGAAAAUACAAGUAUUAUUAUAAUAAGGUAAUUUCAAAAGCAUCAAGUGGGCCCAAGGCAGAUCAAUAUCAUUAUACUCAUACAUUGCACUACAGUGGAGCUCCAGUUUAUAGCAACUUCUGGUAAUAUGGUAUUAAUUGGAUGAAAGAUAAGUGAAAAAAAGACCAUUAACUGGAAGCAUGAAAUGCUGAAGAGGAAUGUUUGGAUGGCUGUGGCUGAGGAGAUCAAGGCUUGAACUGAGCUGUAGUGCAAGGAGGAAGGAAGAGGAGAAUGUGUAUCACUUAUUAAGACAUUGUGGAUUUGGAAAUAAAUGAUUGGGUUCAAAUGGAACAGGGAUUGGAAUGGAAACAGAAGCAUUGCUGAGUUGGAGGAUCUGUAUUUAUAGCACCAAGGCCAGCCAACAGCUGUAGGGGGGAGGGGCUGAGAUUACCCAUGGACUAUGUCAGCAGCAGGAAGACUAGCACUCAACAAAGCAUCUUAUAUUGUCAUAAACAGACGUCUGUCAAUUGGCAACAGAGUUCAAAGUCAUUGGCAAACUGGGAAGAAAACUUCACAUGCAGUCAUGGCCAUUUGGCAUUAUGGUAUAUAAGUGAAGGUAUUUGACAUCAACGAAGAGACCUGCAUGGUUAGAGACCACAUGUGGUGGCAUCAAUUUGGCUCCCACUAUUUACUUCUUGGAAGACAAAGAAGACGCCAGCUGCUGGAUGCGCAAUAAAUGUUGCUGUGUGGCCAAGUGCAAGCACAUGUUAAGGUGCCAGCUGAUGCUGGCAAACUGCCAAGAUCAGGAAAUAAAGAGCAUUGGGGGCUGCCUGUAAGAAGCAAAUCUGUUUAACACUAACGUUGUUGUUUCAAAUGUAUUAUGACAUGAUGGCUGAAAGCUAGAACAGUGGAACAAAAAGAGGCAGCUUUUGAAAUGCAACAGUAUGAUAAACAAGUGUUGUGGCAACAAAUAAACAUGCAAGAAUAUAGGAACCAUGAAGGUGAUGUUUUCUAUGCAGUCCAAGUCAGAGCUAUAUAGCAUGGACACUGGACAAUCAGGAGUCCGUGGUAAGAGUCAACGGUUAUACGUCUAGAGUACUGUGUUGCAUUGUGAGAGGCCGCUGCCAAGCAACGGCUAAUGAAGACACAGGAGACUGAAGAUUUUGAGUUUGCGGUAGCGAUUUGUAGAGUGUGCUGAUUAAUGACAGUGUUACAAUUAUUUGUAGUUACAAGAUAUAUAAGCUUUUGAUAAUAUCAAUUAUCAACCUAAACCCCAUGUAUAAACACUAACAUGUGACAAUAUGUUAUUUUAAUAACACUGCCUCCCACUUACAUAAAACCAACAGAUACACAACACUAACAACACUGGUUCACUGAGAUACAGCAAUUCUCUAAGAAAAGCAUUCAGUAACAUUUUUUUCACACAUCACUAAUGAUUUAAUGCAAGGCACAACACUAACACUUUACAAUGACAUAAUUCUUGUAACACUUCUUCGUAACUUUAAGGAUCACAGUUACACACCACCACUGCUGCCACAAAUAGUAGCAGCAACAGCCGUGGUAGCAACAUCACAACCACUGCCAGUACCUGUAAUAAUAUAGUGGUGGUGGUGGUGAUAGUAGUUGUACUAAUAACAACAACCAACUAUCUUUCAUGAAGACAGUAAUGUAUUCAGGAUUUAUUUCUUAGGAACAGAGGAGGAAGUGAAAGGAGGGUUUCGAAAAUAAAAAUAGUAAAAGCUACAGUUUAUCACACAGAAUCACAGAUCAGCUAUAUAGCUGACAUAAGUGUUGGCCACUUCGCUAUAAAUUAAGAAACUUUUUGUCGUAUUAUCUGAGACAUUUUAGGGAGCAUUUGAACCCACAUAUAGCACUCCUUAAAUAUGGUCAUGCAUGUAGGCAAAAGGCACUAAUAUUUGGGUACCUAAUAUUAACAUCACUGCUGCAUUGCGGCAUGAAAUAUUAUAAGCACCAUUGCAUAUAUUUGUCAUAAGACUCAAGUGUUGUUGUCUGAAGAGCCUCAUAUAUUUUUCAUAUGUAGUAGCACUACUGGCAUCUAGCCAUGUGAGGCAAAAAACUUUAUUUACUUUUAUCUCUUUCUUAUAUGGCAGAUGGGAGCCAGGAGAAAGAGAAAGCACAGGAAAAUGAAGCGUCACAUUGUUUGGAAAGAGCACUACUGCAGCUGAUACGCACAUGUUCUACGCACAAUAUUCUAUGUACAAUGUGACAUUUCCUUGUGUACAAUGGUCGUUUCUUCAGCAACAGGCAGGCAUUUAAACCAGACUGAUUACUUGCAGUGCCAAGUUUCUUUAUAUAAGAAAGUUGUAUGUAUGAGUAUGUGAAUUACUUUUCAUAUUUGACACUUGUCUAACAAAUUAUACGACCUCGGCGUCGCUGAGGAAGAAUGCCUCGCCUGGCCAUGUAGAAACGGAUUGUUGAGAUUGGUAUGUUGAAGAUGUCAGACACAUUCUGGAAAGUCAUGCCCUUCUGGACACAUUCUGCUGCUUUUGUCAAUUCUGCUUCUGACCUACGGAUUCUGGUGGGAGCGAUACUGCCUUCCUUCCAGGAAGAUUUAAUCUUGCUAGCUCCAUGGAUCAGAGUCCUUCUUGAGCACCUAGAAUUCGCUCAGCUAGUCAAGAAAUUACCUGAACUUUAUUUGCAGUUUAUUUAAUGAUGCAAGGCUAUACAGUGUUGAAUGACUUGAUGAGAGUGAACAAUGCGUUGGAAAGAAUGUGGAAGGAAGCUGUUGUGGCCUGAUUCUUCAAGGAAUUCUCAUGUGACAGUGAUUAUGGAACUCUGAAGCCUCUAGAUGUCAUAUCACACCCUACAACCAUAUUUCACUUUAAUACUAUCCUCUUAUUUACAGCUAUGUUUUCCUUUUCUUCAAGUCUUCCAAUUAAAACUCUGCAUGCAUUUCUUAUUUAACAGAAGCAUACUACAUAUUCUGCUCAUCUCACCUUCAUUAUCAUAUUAAGCAUGAUACUUGAUGAAGAGCAUACAUUAUGAAACUCCUGCUCAUGCAGUUUUCUCCAACCUCCUGUUACUUCCAGCAGCUUGGGUUCAAAAUAUUUUAAGCAACCUAUUCUCAAAUACCCUAAACUUAUGAUCUAGUCUUAAUGAGAGAAACCAUGUUUCAUACUAACAUAAAAAUACAGGUAAACAGAGUUUUGCAUAUUUUAAUCAUUAUGUUUUUGGACAGCAGACAGGAAAACAAUUAUUUUAAACUGAGUGGUGACAAGUAUUAACAGAUACAAUUUUUUUUUAAUUUUCUGUGAACACUGUUGUUAGUUGUUCCCACUUGAACUUGCCACAUUUUCAGCACAUUUAUUAGCUGUCUUCAAAUUAUGAUUGUGCCAUAUUCUGAUGAUGAGGCAUAAACAUAUACUUUGUGUUCUCUAAAUUCUAGACCAAGGGUCUCCAAACUAUGGCCCGCAGCCACAUCCGGCCCACAAUGUGAUUUUAUUCGGCCCAUGAAAGAAUUGUGCAGAAAUGCGCCAAUUGAACUAAUUUUCCAAUGAGUACUGGAAAAAAAAAACUUGU